rnacentral:misc_RNA from 1 species
AACGCACAUUGCGCCCCGGGCCUCGGCCUUGGGCAUGUCUGCCUCAGUGUCCCGCACAUCUGCACCCUCCCUCUCCCCCCUCCCGGGGAGCGACGGGGGCGCGAUCUGGCCGUCUCGGAACGCCUCGGCGAGCCGCGUCGGCCGAAGCGGAGCGCGAUCCGGGCUGCGCCUCUGCGGCCGCCUUCGGAGCUUUGACGGUGACCCCUUUCGGUCUUCUGGAGCAGCUUCGCGGGCGGUCCGCGUUCGAGCGCGCGGUCCCGGCUCGGCCAAUGCCAGGAAUCCCCUUUCACAUUGGACCUGAGCUCAGGCAAGACUACCCGCUGAACUUAA